rnacentral:rRNA from 1 species
GACAGAGGGUGCAAGCGUUAUCCGGAAUUAUUGGGCGUAAAGCGUCUGUAGGUGGCUUUUCAAGUCCGCCGUGAAAUCCCAGGGCUCAACCCUGGACAGGCGGUGGAAACUGCCAAGCUGGAGUACGGUAGGGGCAGAGGGAAUUUCCGGUGGAGCGGUGAAAUGCAUUGAGAUCGGAAAGAACACCAACGGCGAAAGCACGCUGCUGGGCCGACACUGACACUGAGAGACGAAAGCUAGGGUAGCGAACGGG